GAACGCACAUUGCGCCCUUCGGUAUUCCGUUGGGCAUGCCUGUUCGAGCGUCAUUUGACCCUUCAAGCUCUGCUUGGUGUUGGGCGUUUGUUCCGCCUCCGCGCGUGGACUCGCCUCAAAUUCAUUGGCAGCCGGCAAGUUGGCUUCGUGCGCAGCACAUUGCGUCACGGCUCCAGUCUGCCUCCGUCCAGUAAGGCUCCUCAUCACUUUGACCUCGGAUCAGGUAGGGAUACCCGCUGAACUUAAG
rnacentral:misc_RNA from 1 species